rnacentral:lncRNA from 1 species
CUUCAGAGAUAACAUUUUGAUAAACCAAAACCAAACGUUCAAAUCUUUUACAAUACCAAGUCCAAUACAAAAGGUUCAACCAUAAUAUGAUACUAAAGGAUUUACAAUCACAAAAGUCCCUAAGAUCCCUCGUUCAUUCCCCUAUCACCAACUCCUGUAAGGGAAACAAAACUAAAGGUUGAGCUAAACCUCAAUGAGGUUUGCCAAGCAAGUAACAUUUAAUAAACACUUAAAUCAGUACAAUUAAACAAGUAAUGUACAUUUCAUUGUACAAUCACUUUCAAAAGGAUACGGUAUUGAUACGGACUCUAGAGGUGGCUCUCGUCCGUUCCAGACGUAGCACUUAGUUCCGUUCAGUAAUUCAGUGUCAUUUCAAUAUCAUUGCACACUCAUUUCAGUGUCAUUGUACAUUUAUUUCAAUAUCAUUAUACACUUUGCCGAUUCACCUCCUUAUGUCCUCCAAAACAAUAAACAAUCUCAUACAUUCAGUAAUCAGUUCAACAAUCUCCCAACUUCAGGGUAAUACUCGAGUAUACCGAAACAUUUACCCAAAACUUCUGUCCUAUCCGACCAAGCCCUUUUGCUGGCUCAAAUAGUCCAUUGAACAAAGGGUUUUGGGGCCCAGUUCAGCCGAUGUGGUAAAGUAUACAUACGACAUACAUUCAUGCACACUUACAGUAACAUUUAGUCAAUUAUCAACCUUCAAACUCAACUAAACCAAAUGCGAUAAAGUACACCCCCGACUUAGAAGGCAAGAGACAAUUGAAAUACACUUUAUCACAUAAUUUCACUUAAGUAAACAUAAACAGUUAAACACACAAACUCAGAAACACUCACCAAAUAUUCAAAUAAAUUAUUCCCGAGUUUCAGGUUUGUUUCCUGGCUCACAGCUACUUGCUGAGACAAGUUCAUAAUUCCAAAGUAAAUAUAUAAUUUGUCGAUGUUCACUUAUUAUUUAUUAUCCUAUUAUUAAAAUUAUUAAAAUCAAGUUUGACUUUAAAAUAUAAAAUAUAAUAUAUGCAAUAGUUAUUCUACUUUUUUUACUUCGAAACUUAUUGAGUUUAUCAUUUUAAACCAAGAAAUAUACGUAUUUUCCAAGUUUAUAAUUUAUAAAUAUUUGAAUUAGGAUUAAACUAUUUUCUACUCAACAUUUUAAAGUUACGACAAACAGACUUUCAAUUCCUUCCUUUUAAGUUAGAUCAAGUGCUAGAUUACCUGUAGUUUAAGUCUCGUGAAAUUUACUAGCUUUCUAGUUUUAAGUUCCUUAAAAUACUCAUAAAAAUAGUUCCAAGUUGCUAUAAGAUGUUCGACAUUAAUUUUCAACCAAUUAACCUAAAUUUCCCAAAAUUUCAUGGGAGUUUCAUUUCUUUCCUCAUUCGGUCAGUAAAAACAGGACUUCAGCUCAAAUGUUUCUAAAUCUUUGACAAUCUUCACUUUUAAUUGUUUAAACUUCAAUUUGCUUAGUAUGCAUUUCAUCCAAGGUGAAAAGCUCAUAAUUUAAACAUGUUGAUCGACUAUCAUUAUCCACAAAAUUUGUCAUUUAUUAUCGCAACAAUUGACUAAGUUUUCAUUAAAUCUUUCCUUUCUAUCUUAUGUUCCAAUUAGACAAGUUAAUUACCUUGAUUAAGCUAGCUUUGUACAGUACGUGGGAAAACUGCACUAAACUCAAAGGAAAGAUUAAUCAAAAUCCUUCCUCCCUCGGUCAGGAUGUACUACAGCAUACAAAUUCACAGUUUCCUCUCCAUUUGAUUUAGUUUAACCUUACUCAUGAUGCAAAACGUAGCUACUAAACCACAGGGCAACCUCAGUUGUCACCUGUGGUAGUUCACAGAAUCUGUCAUCCUUUCUGGCACUAGCUGUUAGUUUUCCAACAAUGUAGCAGCUCAAAUUUGCAGCUUUUACUCCCUACUUGCUACAGUUAGUUCUAACUUAUGGUGCCAGCACGAUUACUAAUCACUGAGCAGCCUUAGCUAUCCUCUGGGGACGUUUACUGAGAUAGAAACAAAAAGAAAAGCUGUUCAAGAGUGAAUAUUUCCCUUCCCAGCAUCACAGCUGAAUGCCUCAGCUUCUUCCCUUUUUUUUUCCUCCAACUCAGCUAGCUUUUCCUGAGUUUACUGGUUGCAAGGUGUUUUCAAUCGUGACAAGUGAUCAUAAGUAUUUCAUGUGUUUGCUAAUGAGUAUUUCCAGUAUAUCAGACCAUUUAACUGCACAUUCUGCUGCAUUUUCCUCGGCCCUUCUUCCUGCAAUCAACUGAUCUUAUUUCUCCCUUCAACAUUUAGUUAGGUCCUACUCGUUUCUGCCUUACUUGUUGGAGUUAAGAGACUUUAUGACAUGAUACAUCUUAAUACGUUAGUUUAGAAGCUAAAGUUUGUAGAGGACAGCUAGAGUUUCCUUCGUUUCCCUCUCGGUUACAGCCAAUAAAUUUUCAGCAAGGCAGUAGUUUAUCUUUUGACACUUCCUCACCUUUUCCUUUUCAGUUUUAGGUCUCAAUCACUCAUACAGAGGUCACUUCUUCAGCUACAGGUUAUCCUAAGCUAAACAUGGCAGUUCAUGACCAGAGUUCAGAAGAAAAACUGGAUGAAACUCAGGUCUGCGCAAGGCUGUAAAGUCUGAUGCAUAGCAGCCUGCAUCAGGUUUCUUUCAUACUCAAGGUUCCAAUUCUUACAAGUUUCUACGGUUAACUUGCUUUUAAUACUCAAAGUGAACAUAUUUCAUACAUUCCUAGCUAACGGUUCCAUCCUUCUUUGAUAGCAAUCAGCACAAUCCAUACCUGUCUCUCCGCUAGAGGACAGAGACUUUUUUAGCAAGCUAUCAGUUCUAAACAAGAUUUUCUGCAACAAAACUUAAUUUUUCUUGGCCAGAAUCCAGCACACAACAUGCGUAUGUAAGGGUACUAGGUGAUUAAGAAAUUAUUACAUAAGUUUUUCAUCAUUUUAUAGGCUGAAAUUCGAAUAACAGCCCUCAACUCCCUCCAUUACUAUCCAACAGAUUCAUUUCCUUCAAACAGAGCUUCACCCUGGCUAAGGACGCAUUUUCUUUGCUAAAUUCACAUGCAACUGUAUAAUAAUUCAUUUAUACCGAAUAAGCAGGAGGUUAGUGCAGGUUCUUACCUUUCCACCUACGAUUCUAUGUUGCAGGCUGCUCAAGUUUCUGUCUCGGUUCCUCAGUCCUAAUUCCAGCUUCUCCUGCUUUCCUUGCUGUAUUCUCCCUUGUCUUCGUUUGUGUAAUUUUGGUUAGCUGAUGGUGAAGCUAGCCGAGCUUUCUCUCCCACUCUCUCAGUUUUCUCUCGGUGUUGGUGUGGUAAGGAAAGAAACUGAAGUUUUGUUUUUCCCUCUCAGCCACUGCCCAAGUAUUUAGCCAACAAUUUUCUCGUCUUAUACUCAGUUAUCUCUCAGUAUAGAAGGCUUAAGAAUCAGAAGAAGGAAAUAUCAUUCGGUGGUC